GGUUAAGCGACUAAGCGUACACGGUGGAUGCCCUGGCAGUCAGAGGCGAUGAAGGACGUGCUAAUCUGCGAAAAGCGUCGGUAAGGUGAUAUGAACCGUUACAGCCGGCGAUGUCCGAAUGGGGAAACCCAGUGUGAUUCGUCACACUAUCGUUAACUGAAUACAUAGGUUAACGAGGCGAACCGGGGGAACUGAAACAUCUAAGUACCCCGAGGAAAAGAAAUCAACCGAGAUUCCCCCAGUAGCGGCGAGCGAACGGGGAGCAGCCCAGAGUCUGAAUCAGCUUGUGUGUUAGUGGAACGGUCUGGAAAGUCCGACGGUACAGGGUGAUAGUCCCGUACACCAAAAUGCACAGGUUGUGAACUCGAAGAGUAGGGCGGGACACGUGGUAUCCUGUCUGAAUAUGGGGGGACCAUCCUCCAAGGCUAAAUACUCCUGACUGACCGAUAGUGAACCAGUACCGUGAGGGAAAGGCGAAAAGAACCCCGGCGAGGGGAGUGAAAAAGAACCUGAAACCGUGUACGUACAAGCAGUGGGAGCACCUUCGGGUGUGACUGCGUACCUUUUGUAUAAUGGGUCAGCGACUUAUAUUCUGUAGCAAGGUUAACCGUAUAGGGGAGCCGCAGGGAAACCGAGUCUUAACUGGGCGUUAAGUUGCAGGGUAUAGACCCGAAACCCGGUGAUCUAGCCAUGGGCAGGUUGAAGGUUGGGUAACACUAACUGGAGGACCGAACCGACUAAUGUUGAAAAAUUAGCGGAUGACUUGUGGCUGGGGGUGAAAGGCCAAUCAAACCGGGAGAUAGCUGGUUCUCCCCGAAAGCUAUUUAGGUAGCGCCUCGUGAACUCAUCUUCGGGGGUAGAGCACUGUUUCGGCUAGGGGGUCAUCCCGACUUACCAACCCGAUGCAAACUACGAAUACCGAAGAAUGUUAUCACGGGAGACACACGGCGGGUGCUAACGUCCGUCGUGAAGAGGGAAACAACCCAGACCGCCAGCUAAGGUCCCAAAGUCAUGGUUAAGUGGGAAACGAUGUGGGAAGGCACAGACAGCCAGGAUGUUGGCUUAGAAGCAGCCAUCAUUUAAAGAAAGCGUAAUAGCUCACUGGUCGAGUCGGCCUGCGCGGAAGAUGUAACGGGGCUAAACCAUGCACCGAAGCUGCGGCAGCGACACUAUGUGUUGUUGGGUAGGGGAGCGUUCUGUAAGCCUGCGAAGGUGGCCUGUGAGGGUUGCUGGAGGUAUCAGAAGUGCGAAUGCUGACAUAAGUAACGAUAAAGCGGGUGAAAAGCCCGCUCGCCGGAAGACCAAGGGUUCCUGUCCAACGUUAAUCGGGGCAGGGUGAGUCGACCCCUAAGGCGAGGCCGAAAGGCGUAGUCGAUGGGAAACAGGUUAAUAUUCCUGUACUUGGUGUUACUGCGAAGGGGGGACGGAGAAGGCUAUGUUAGCCGGGCGACGGUUGUCCCGGUUUAAGCAUGUAGGCUGGUUGUCCAGGCAAAUCCGGAUAAUCAAGGCUGAGGUGUGAUGACGAGGCACUACGGUGCUGAAGUAACAAAUGCCCUGCUUCCAGGAAAAGCCUCUAAGCAUCAGGUAACAUCAAAUCGUACCCCAAACCGACACAGGUGGUCAGGUAGAGAAUACCAAGGCGCUUGAGAGAACUCGGGUGAAGGAACUAGGCAAAAUGGUGCCGUAACUUCGGGAGAAGGCACGCUGGUGUGUAGGUGAAGCCCCUGCGGGUGGAGCUGAGACCAGUCGAAGAUACCAGCUGGCUGCAACUGUUUAUUAAAAACACAGCACUGUGCAAACACGAAAGUGGACGUAUACGGUGUGACGCCUGCCCGGUGCCGGAAGGUUAAUUGAUGGGGUUAUCCGUAAGGAGAAGCUCUUGAUCGAAGCCCCGGUAAACGGCGGCCGUAACUAUAACGGUCCUAAGGUAGCGAAAUUCCUUGUCGGGUAAGUUCCGACCUGCACGAAUGGCGUAAUGAUGGCCAGGCUGUCUCCACCCGAGACUCAGUGAAAUUGAACUCGCUGUGAAGAUGCAGUGUACCCGCGGCAAGACGGAAAGACCCCGUGAACCUUUACUAUAGCUUGACACUGAACAUUGAGCCUUGAUGUGUAGGAUAGGUGGGAGGCUUUGAAGCGUGGACGCCAGUCUGCGUGGAGCCAACCUUGAAAUACCACCCUUUAAUGUUUGAUGUUCUAACGUUGGCCCCUUAUCGGGGUUGCGGACAGUGUCUGGUGGGUAGUUUGACUGGGGCGGUCUCCUCCCAAAGCGUAACGGAGGAGCACGAAGGUUAGCUAAUCCUGGUCGGACAUCAGGAGGUUAGUGCAAUGGCAUAAGCUAGCUUGACUGCGAGCGUGACGGCGCGAGCAGGUGCGAAAGCAGGUCAUAGUGAUCCGGUGGUUCUGAAUGGAAGGGCCAUCGCUCAACGGAUAAAAGGUACUCCGGGGAUAACAGGCUGAUACCGCCCAAGAGUUCAUAUCGACGGCGGUGUUUGGCACCUCGAUGUCGGCUCAUCACAUCCUGGGGCUGAAGUAGGUCCCAAGGGUAUGGCUGUUCGCCAUUUAAAGUGGUACGCGAGCUGGGUUUAGAACGUCGUGAGACAGUUCGGUCCCUAUCUGCCGUGGGCGCUGGAGAAUUGAGGGGGGCUGCUCCUAGUACGAGAGGACCGGAGUGGACGCAUCACUGGUGUUCGGGUUGUCAUGCCAAUGGCACUGCCCGGUAGCUAAAUGCGGAAGAGAUAAGUGCUGAAAGCAUCUAAGCACGAAACUUGCCCCGAGAUGAGUUCUCCCUGAGACUUUAAGUCUCCUGAAGGAACGUUAAAGACGAUGACGUUGAUAGGCCGGGUGUGUAAGCGCAGCGAUGCGUUGAGCUAACCGGUACUAAUGAACCGUGAGGCUUAACCUU
rnacentral:rRNA from 1 species